rnacentral:lncRNA from 1 species
UAGGUGAAAGAAUGAGCCAUAAGUACAUAAUUUGUUCAAAAUGAUAGAGCAAGUAAGUGGCAAAGUUUGGAAUCUGAAGCUAUGACUGACUCCAGAUAGCGUCAGUUGUAUGAGACCAAACAAAUGUAAUAUGCCAAAAAAUUUAGAAAGUAAUUUAAGAAUGCAUGAAAAAUCAAUAACUAAACUUUUUUUUUAAAUCAGUUCUAUUAUUAUGGUAAGAAAAAUGUCAAAUAUUCUGUUCCAUUUAGCAAUUUAAAAUUUUGGUAUGGUCAUCCAUAUGUUUGGUAAAAGCAGAGGGUAGUAUUUAUUAAACAUAAACAACUAUAAAUAUGUUUAUGUGAGCCUCAUGAUGAUCACAAAGCAAAAAUCUGUAGAAGAUACACAAAAGAUGAGAAAAGAAUGACUGUAUACCAUUACCUAAAAUCAUCAACUCCCAAACGAAGGAAAAGAGAGGAACAAAGAAACUACCAAACAAUCAGAAAAUGAACAAUGAGUAAAAUGGCAAGAGUAAGUCCAUUCCAGGCAAUAAUUAUGGUAAAUGCAAAAGGACUAAAUGCUCCAAUCGAAAGACACAGUGUGGUUGAGUGGGAAAAACAAAUGAACAUACAAACAAAAAACAAGAGUUGGGGGCUGCUGAAAAGAGACUCACUUUAGCUUCAGGACACUCAGAUUGAAAGUGCAGGUAAGGAAAGAGAUAUUUCAUCCAAGUGGAAAGCAAAAGAAAGAGAGGCAGCUAUACUGGCUUCAGUCAAAACAGACCUUAAGCCAAAGACUAUGUGCAUUUUAAAACCAUAUAUAUACUUAUCCUUCUAUUUGUUAUAUUUCUUCAGCUGAAAGUUUCCCUCCCACUCUCCCGCACCCAGUUUUUGAAUCUGAUUACCCCUUAGUGGAUUAGAACUCUGCAUUUUUUUCACGAUUUUGGAUUAUACAUUAACCUUUCCAGUUAACUGAGGCUCCUUGCCAAACAUCCAUGAAAUCUGGAUGAACUAGUUAUUCACAUGUGAGAAAAUAAAAAUGUUCACAUACUAAAAAUGACAUUUAUUAACCAUUUAUAUGGUUCAAAUUAUUUUAUAACAACCAUUUUUAUCCCAAAAUUAAUUAAUUAAUUAAUUUAUUUAUUUUGCUUUUUAGGUCUGCACUGGUAGCAUAUGGAAGUUCCCAGGCUAGGGGUUGAAUCGGACCUACAGCUGCUGGCCUAUGCCACAGCCACAGCAAUGUGGGAUCCAAACCACAUCUCUGACCUACACCACAGCUCAUGGUAAUGCCAGAUCCUCAACCCACUGAGUGAGGCCAGGAAUCAAACCCGCAUCAUCAUCGAUCUCAGGUUCAUUAACAGCUGAACUAUGACGGGAACUCCCAAAAAUUUAUAUUUGGGAAUAUCUGUCACCUUGUUUAAGAAACUCUUAAGUUUUGGAGUUUCUGUCAUGGCUCAGUGGUUCACGAACCCGACUAGGAACCAUGAGGUUGCGGAUUCAAUCCCUGGCCUCGCUCGGUGGGUAAAGGAUCCGGCAUUGCUAUGAGCUGUGGUGUAGGCCAGUGGCUGCAGCUCCAAUUGGACCCCUAGCCUGGGAACCUCCAUAUGCCAUGGGUGUAGCCCUAGAAAAGACAAAAAAAGACAAAAGAAAGAAAGAAAGAAACUCUAAGUUUUAUUGUUUUUAAGAUCUCAAUACCUUGUGUUGAUAAAAUACUUAUGUAAUAUUACAUAAUUAUCUACAAUGAAAUAAUUGGUAGGUGAAACUGGGAAAUACUUCCAUCCCUAAAGUUUAUGUCAUUUCCUAUAGAGAGAGCAAGCCUGAAUAUUAAAUUCUUCCAAAACCUGAUAAGAUUUUUCUAGAAUGGAAAAAAAAAAAAGUGUUCUGUAAGCACUUGGUAAAUCCCUUCGGUGGUGUUCAGCAUUACUCUCUCAAGACACCCAAUUUUAUGAUUCCUAGAGCUGGUGAACAUCCAGAGUGAGGCUUGGCUCUGGAGGUGGACAGCUGUUCAUAUGUCCAUCACCGGUCCCUUGUGUUCACCACCACAGUGUAGGCAACAAACACAUUGCUCCGAUCAGUGUUUAUUUGUGGUGUCAUCAUGGCAGUGCUAAUUCUCACCCUCAGCAGUUGAAAGAGAGAGAGAGGGAGAGAAAGAGAAAAUUUGGUCAUGGGGGCGGGGCACGGGAGGAGGAGGGAAAGAAUAGAACGGGGCUCGUGUAUUUGGCAACACUUACUGACUCUUCGCUACUUGAAUUUUGAAAAUGUUCUUUCAUCCAAAUGCCAAAAGACGUUCCUAGCCAACUCUGGUCCAACUUCGAAUUGGAGACAUGCUUACAAAAACAAGGGAAGGACUUGGAUUUGAAAAACUCCCUCUGAAUAACUAAUUAAUACCUGGUUAUGAAACCCAGGUAUUAACCUGUGCACGUACUUCUAAGGGCACGCACAGUUAAACUUACAUAUGUUGGUAUCCUUGCCCUGGUUCUUCUAGAUUUAAUCUCCCCCCCCCCUUUUUUUUUAGGAGAGACAACAGGAUGAAGAGGAAUUAUCACCGUCAUAGAUGCACAUUAAACAUUUACGAUCUAUAUCCCUGGAUUCCAGUUUCGAUACUGACUCUGUAGCUUCAUUUCUAACCAUCCUUUUCCUCAGUCCUCUAAUCAGACAUGGUUGUGUAAGCCCACAUUUGGUUAUUGCUGUUGAAAGGGUAGCCUUGGAGGAUGGAAAGUGAAGGAGAAUUGUGAGAUUUGAGGAAGUUUCUGCAACGUGUCAGGUGGCUCUUUCAGUAGAGUUCUUCAUGGCUCUUUACGUCCACUGGCUUGAGAGCAUCCUUACUGGGCCCUCAUCUAGAAUUCAAGAUGCUGGUCAAUGGGGUUUCUGUGAUGUAAUUGACCAUUGUCCUUCUUUAGGCUCAAGAAUUUUUCAGAGGUACAUUUUAUACACUAAGGGAGCAGAAUCACAACCAAUGCGUCACCUUUUAACUGUGUGGAUUGAUUGACUGGAUAUUGGUUUCAUUCAUUUUUCAAUAAGCAGUUAGACUCUCUGCAAAUUCAAAGCUAAGUAAGGAAUGGCACAGAAAGGUAGAUACUAGAACUUAUGAAUAUAAGUGACACUCUACUUGCUAAACUGAAAGUGUGUAUAGGAAAAUGGGGCCAAUGGAGGGACAAAUGAGGAGAUAGUUCUCUGAUGGGGGAUGAGGGAAGCUCAGAAUAAAAAAAAAAUCUGAAUUAUUCUGUAGAGGUUCUGAUGUUUGCUGCCUGGCUAUUGGGUGGGGCAAGAUUCUCAAGAGAGGGCAGUGCUUGUGCAAAGGUUGUAGGUGCAUGAUGUGCUUGGAGAACUUCCGACAGGCUGGUGUGUCUUUUAUCCAGAGGACGUACAUAAUUGAGAGUGGCUAGACAUGAAGUUCAAGAGACAGUCAGAAACCAGAAGAUGAAGGGACCUAUUUGUUAUCCUACCUUGUUUGAGCUUUGUCUUAAACAGAUGAACAACUAUGAAAGACAUCAGAGCAGGAGGAUGGCAUGCUCAGCUUUGAGUUUGGAGAAGGAUGGACGGUCCUAGGAACACACCCUUUCUCUUUACCACUCCUGAAGGAAGAAGAAUAGUGUUCACAGGUUGUGUCGGCUGCAAAGCCACUGAUGAACUGGCUUAUUUUAGGUUUCUGAUAUUACACAUGAGAAAACAGACUUAGAAGCUCACAAGUGUGAGUAGCAUAAGCAGAGUAGGCAUCUCAGAUCCCAAGGUCUGUGCACCUUACUCAACUGUUAUGCUUGCCUAGCGUGAGCUUGUCAUUCUUGGAAUCCUCGUACAACUUUGAACUCUCUCAUGGUGUUUAUUUCAUUCUACUUGGAGUUAUUCGAAAUUCUUCUUCUUCUUAGCUGCAUAUUUUGGGGGAAGGGGCUAUGCCUCACUCAUGUUUUCUAAUCAUUUCUGUAUUCGGCACAUUUCCUUUUAGUAAUAGGCGCUCGACCUAUACCUAUUGAAUUCAUAAAUAAACAAAAAAUUGUAAAUAAAUAUAAAUGCCAUCACCCAUUAGCUGAGCAACUCAGCCCUCUACUACUUGGUAAUUAGUAAACAUCUUAAUGUGUAGAAAGGUAUACAUUUUAAAACCCUAUAUUGGCUAAAGGAGCCCUAAAUAAAGCCUCCCCUAUUCUGAGGCCACUGAUGUGCCACGUGGUAUGGGCACCUCGGGGGUCAAAAUAUCAGGAUGUUAAAUAAUAAAUACUCUAUUUAAAUGCAUUUAAUUCUUUAUCAGUUGCUGAAGUUCUAGAUAAUGGAACAAUUUUCUUUGGUCAAAUUUAUCACCGAGGUAAUUGCUGUCAGGUGUCUUGAGGAGAUAAUGUGCAUUAGCAUCACAGUUGAUUAUCCACCUUCCAGAAAGACAAAUCUUAGCAGAAACUUCACGAUGCAUUUAGUGCAAGAAAAUGCAGCAUUUAUAAAGGGUCUUGUAGAAGCCUCAGAAAAAAUCUUACCCUCGAAUCUGUUUUGAAGUAUUGUAUUUACUUUUGAUGGCAAGGACUCACAAGAGAUGUAGUUAUUCCUUCAGCCCAUGCUUGUCAAGGGCCUCUUCUGUGCUACACUCUGUGCUAAGUGAACAGACAGGUACUUGUCUUGCUUUCAUGGAGCUUGCUGUACAGAGCACGUUCACCGUCUAGUAUGUGGGAAGGGCCUUGGAUAAGAUGCUAAGAGAAUUAAAAACUUAAAU